CUUAGUAGUAGAUGUCUAGUGUACAUUUACGUCUCCUUCAGCAGCAGCCAUGUUCUACCGUUCUUUUUUGCUAGUUCUCCUGGGGCUCUCCUGCCUUCAGUCCUUCACCAUGGCACAUAAUGCAAAUGGCCCAAAAUUGUGCUGUUUUGAGUUUCAUAAAAGCCCGGUGCCUGCAGCGAUCUUUGCAACUGUUGAAGAAACGAGAUUCGACUGUACACUUCCUGGAGUCAUUCUUACAACAAAAAGAGGAUAUCGGUUUU